AUUAAUUACAAAUAUUUUAUAAUUUUAUAAAUUUUUUAGUUUUGUUGGUAAAAAUCACUUAAUUAUAAAAAUAUUUUUUAAUAACAAAAUAUUUAUCUAAAAAAUUUUGAUAAGAUUAUUUGGCCAAAUAAUAUAUAAUUCUAACAAACUCACAAAAAUUUUGACAAUCUGUAAAACAAACAUAACAACUAAAUAAAAAUUUAUACAACCCACAUAAAUCCCAACAAUCCAUCUAAAUAUUCCACAAAUGACAAAAAUAAUCUAAAAUUUUUUAAACACGGUGAAUAAUAUACCGAUUUCAAAAUCUGAUUGAACACAGUAAAUAAUUUAUUGUCUUUCACUAGUUUGAAAAUUAAAAUUCUUAUAAGGUUGUUUCGUAAAUUAUAAAAUUUUUAAGGAUCAAUUAAAAAGAAAAAUCCCAUGACAUGACAUAAGAGAUGUUUUAUUACAAUUUUAUCAAGUUUUUAAUUUAUAGAAUUUUUUUUUAUAAUGAAGAUUUUUAAUUUUAAAUAUUGA
rnacentral:lncRNA from 1 species